rnacentral:rRNA from 1 species
CCUACGGGAGGCAGCAGUGGGGAAUAUUGGACAAUGGGGGAAACCCUGAUCCAGCGACGCCGCGUGAGUGAAGAAGGAUUUCGGUAUGUAAACCUCUAUCAUCAGGGAAGAAAAUGACGGUACCUGACUAAGAAGCCCCGGCUAACUACGUGCCAGCAGCCGCGGUAAUACGUAGGGGGCAAGCGUUAUCCGGAUUUACUGGGAGUAAAGGGAGCGUAGACGGGGCAGCAAGUCUGAUGUGAAAGGUCGGGGCUCAACCCCGGGACUGCAUUGGAAACUGUUGAACUGGAGUACAGGAGAGGUAAGCGGAAUUCCUGGUGUAGCGGUGAAAUGCGUAGAUAUUAGGAGGAACACCAGUGGCGAAGGCGGCUUACUGGACUGUAACUGACGCUGAGGCUCGAAAGCGUGGGGAGCAAACAGGAUUAGAUACCCGAGUAGUC